ensembl:snRNA U6 U6 spliceosomal RNA
GUGCUCAGUUUGGCAGCACAUACACUAAAAGUGGAAUGAAACAGAAGAUUUGCAUAGACUCUGUGCAAGGAUGACAUUCAAACCCAUGAAGUGUUCCGUAUUUCC